UACGAGGGGGGCAAGCGUUGUUCGGAAUUAUUGGGUUUAAAGGGUGCGUAGGCGGCCUAUUAAGUCAGGGGUGAAAGACGGUAGCUUAACUAUCGCAGUGCCUUUGAUACUGAUGGGCUUGAAUGUACUUGAGGUAGGCGGAAUGUGACAAGUAGCGGUGAAAUGCAUAGAUAUGUCACAGAACACCAAUUGCGAAGGCAGCUUACUAAAGUAUGAUUGACGCUGAGGCACGAAAGCGUGGGGAUCAAACAGG
rnacentral:rRNA from 1 species